rnacentral:sRNA from 1 species
AUGCUGCCCAAGCGGGGAAGGAUGAGAAGCUUCGACCAAGGUUCGACUUGAGCGCCAGCGAGAGAGCGUUGCCGCAGGCAACGACCCGAAGGGCGAAGCGCGCAGCGCUGAGUAAUCCUUCCCCCACCACCA